GGAAUUGUUCGCAAUGGGCGCAAGCCUGACGACGCAACGCCGCGUGGAGGAUGAAGAUCUUCGGGUCGUAAACCCCUGUCGAGUGGGAAGAAUCGCUUUUGGGCUAACAUUCCCGGAGCCUGACGGUACCACUAAAGGACGCCCCGGCUAACUCCGUGCCCACAGCCGCGGUAAUACGGGGGGGGCAAGCGUUGUUCGGAAUUACUGGGCGUAAAGGGCUCGUAGGCGGCCAACUAAGUCGGAUGUGAAAUCCCCAGGCUCAACCUGGGAACUGCAUCCGAUACUGGAUGGCUUGAAUUCGGGAGAGGGAUGCAGAAUUCCAGGUGUAGCGGUGAAAUGCGUAGAUAUCUGGAGGAAUACCGGUGGCGAAGGCGGCAUCCUGGACCGACAUUGACGCUGAGGAGCGAAAGCUAGGGGAGCAAAC
rnacentral:rRNA from 1 species